rnacentral:misc_RNA from 1 species
GAAAUGCGAUAAGUAGCGUGAAUUGCAGAAUUCAGUGAAUCAUCGAAUCUUUGAACGCACCUUGCGCUCCUUGGUAUUCCUUGGAGCAUGCCUGUUUGAGUAUCAUGAAAUCUUCAAAGUAAAUCUUUUGUUAACUCAAUUGGUUUCUACUUUGGUAUUGGAGGUCUUUGCAGCUUCACACCUGCUCCUCUUUGUUCAUUAGCUGGAUCUCAGUGUUAUGCUUGGUUCCACUCGGCGUGAUAAGUUAUCUAUCGCUGAGGACACUGUAAAAGGUGGCCAAGGUAAAUGCAGAUGAACCGCUUCUAAUAGUCCAUUGACUUGGACAAUACUUUUAUGAUCUGAUCUCAAAUCAGGUAGGACUACCCGCUGAACUUAAGC